AUUGAACGCUGGCGGCAGGCCUAACACAUGCAAGUCGAGCGAGAGGCGGACGGGUGAGUAAUAUCUGGGAAACAGCCUGAUGGGGAGGGAGAACUACUGGAAACGGUCGCUAAUACCGCAUACAAUCAGAUGUGCACCGAUGGGAUUAGAUAGUAGGUGGGGGAAUGGCGCACCUAGGCGACGAUCCCUAGCUGGUCUGAUAGGAUGACCAGCAACACUGGAACGGAGACACGGUCCAGACGCCUACGUGAGGCAGCAGUGGGGAAUAUUGCACAAUGGGCGCAAGCCGGAGGCAGCCAUGACGAGUGUGUGAAGAAGGCCGUCGGGUUGUAAAGCACUUUCAGCGGGGAGGCGUUACCCGCAGAAGAAGCACCGGCUAACUCCGUGCCAGCCGCCGCGGUAAUAC
rnacentral:rRNA from 1 species